GACGAACGCUGGCGGCGUGCUUAACACAUGCAAGUCGAACGGAAAGGCCCUGCUUUUGUGGGGUGCUCGAGUGGCGAACGGGUGAGUAACACGUGAGUAACCUGCCCUUGACUUUGGGAUAACUUCAGGAAACUGGGGCUAAUACCGGAUAGGAGCUCCUGCUGCAUGGUGGGGGUUGGAAAGUUUCGGCGGUUGGGGAUGGACUCGCGGCUUAUCAGCUUGUUGGUGGGGUAGUGGCUUACCAAGGCUUUGACGGGUAGCCGGCCUGAGAGGGUGACCGGCCACAUUGGGACUGAGAUACGGCCCAGACUCCUACGGGAGGCAGCAGUGGUGAAUAUUGCACAAUGGGCGUAAUCCUGAUGCAGCAACGCCGCGUGCGGGAUGACGGCCUUCGGGUUGUAACCCGCUUUCGCCUGUGACGAAGCGUGAGUGACGGUAAUGGGUAAAGAAGCACCGGCUAACUACGUG
rnacentral:rRNA from 1 species